rnacentral:rRNA from 1 species
GCGCGCGCAGGUGGUUUCUUCUGUCUGAUGUGAAAGCCCACCCCUCAACCCCGGAGGGUCAUUGGAAACUGGGAGACUUGAGUGCCGAAGAAGAAAGUGGAAUUCCAUGUGUAGCGGUGAAAUGCGUAGAGAUAUGGAGGAACACCACUGGCGAAGGCGACUUUCUGGUCUGUUACUGACACUGAGGCGCGAAAGCGUGGGGAGCAAACAGGAUUAUAUACCCUGGUAGUCCACGCCGUAAACGAUGAGUGCUAAGUGUUAGAGGGUUUCCGCCCUUUAGUGCUGAAGUUAACGCAUUAAGCACUCCGCCUGGGGAGUACGGCCGCAAGGCUGAAACUCACAGGAAUUGACGGGGGCCCGCACAAGCGGUGGAGCAUGUGGUUUAAUUCUAAGCAACGCGAAGAACCUUACCAGGUCUUGACAUCCUCUGAAAACCCUAGAGAUAGGGCUUCUCCUUCGGGAGCAGAGAGACAGGUGGUGCAUGGUUGUCGUCAGCUCGUGUCGUGAGAUGUUGGGUUAAGUCCCGCAACGAGCGCAACCCUUGAUCUUAGUUGCCAUCAUUAAGUUGGGCACUCUAAGGUGACUGCCGGUGACAAACCGGAGGAAGGUGGGGAUGACGUCAAAUCAUCAUGCCCCUUAUGACCUGGGCUACACACGUGCUACAAUGGACGGUACAAAGAGCUGCAAGACCGCGAGGUGGAGCUAAUCUCAUAAAA